rnacentral:rRNA from 1 species
CAGCAGGCGCGAAAACUUUACAAUGCGGGCAACCGUGAUAAGGGAACCUCGAGUGCCUGUACAUGCAGGCUGUCUGGGUGUCUAAAACACACCCAAAGAAAGGGCCGGGCAAGACCGGUGCCAGCCGCCGCGGUAAUACCGGCGGCUCGAGUGGUGGCCACUUUAUUGGGCUAAAGCGUUAGUAGCUGGGUUGUUAAGUCUCUUGGGAAAUCCGGCAGUUUAACUGGCAGGCGUAUAAGAGAUACUGGCAAUCUAGGAACCGGGAGAGGUGAGGGGUACUUCGGGGGUAGGAGUGAAAUC